rnacentral:rRNA from 1 species
GAUGAACGCUAGCGGCAGGCUUAACACAUGCAAGUCGAGGGGUAUAGUAGCAAUACUAGAGACCGGCGCACGGGUGCGUAACGCGUAUGCAAUCUACCUUUCACAGAGGGAUAGCCCAGAGAAAUUUGGAUUAAUACCUCAUAGUAUAGUAUCUUGGCAUCAAGGAACUAUUAAAGUCACAACGGUGAAAGAUGAGCAUGCGUCCCAUCAGUUAGUUGGUAAGGUAACGGCUUACCAGGACUACGAUGGGUAGGGGUCCUGAGAGGGAGAUCCCCCACACUGGUACUGAGACACGGACCAGACUCCUACGGGAGGCAGCAGUGAGGAAUAUUGGACAAUGGGCGCAAGCCUGAUCCAGCCAUGCCGCGUGCAGGAUGACGGUCCUAUGGAUUGUAAACUGCUUUUGUACAGGAAGAAACACCCCGACGUGUCGGGACUUGACGGUACUGUAAGAAUAAGGAUCGGCUAACUCCGUGCCAGCCGCCGCCGUAA